CUAAUUAAGCAAAACAAAAUAUAAUUUUACACUCUUCAUUAGGAAACUCUUUCAAAUUUCAAUAAAUUCCUCCAUGUAUCUGAAUUAUGUUAGAAUAUGGAAAGACAGGGAGGAGCUAUAUAACUGAAUUUCAACAAUUGAUGAGCAUGCAACUCAGAUGCAUGUGUCUCUCAAUUAGUGAGCGAUGCUAGUGAAUCAUUUAUACGGACAGAUGAUGCCACCCAAUUCUUGAAUGUCAUUUAUAUUGCAGAGGACGCAGAUGUUUAUCAUGACUCAGUGAAGUAUUUGUUGAUGGUAAGGCAAAAGACUAAGGAGAAUAGCCCAAGGUUGAUAGUGAACUCAUUUAUGCCUAUGCCUUAUAUGUGAUUACGAAGAUCAGAUUUGCACUAUUGAAAAUAAAACUGGUUGAAGGAUGCUGCCCAUAUUAGUAAGUGGUAUUGCGAUAAGAAGAUUGUGGUGAAGCAAAGGCUGAACCUCCUACUGUCACAAUUCCUCAUUUGAAGGCCAUGGUUUCUGAUAUAUCUCCAACAUAAAUCGCCUCAUGUGCUGAAACUUAUAAUUUUCAUAAUAUAGUGAAAAUAACAAUGCUUCAUGUAUGUUACAAUUGAGCAGCAAGUUCAGAACUUAUAAUUGAUUAAUGCGGAACUUCUGGUGCACCGAUCAGUUCAUAUUAAUGAAAUUGUUUAUUUCAAAA